UACGUAGGGUGCGAGCGUUGUCCGGAAUUAUUGGGCGUAAAGAGCUUGUAGGCGGUUUGUCGCGUCUGCUGUGAAAAUCCGGGGCUCAACCCCGGACUUGCAGUGGGUACGGGCAGGCUAGAGUGAUGUAGGGGAGACUGGAAUUCCUGGUGUAGCGGUGAAAUGCGCAGAUAUCAGGAGGAACACCGAUGGCGAAGGCAGGUCUCUGGGCAUUAACUGACGCUGAGGAGCGAAAGCAUGGGGAGCGAACAGG
rnacentral:rRNA from 1 species